rnacentral:lncRNA from 15 species
GUUCUAAAUCAUCACAGUUUUCAUAGUAAUAGGCAUGUUCAUCCAUGAUGCAGUGCCCUGCCAAUGUUAAUGACUUCUCCAGAGAUUGGAGACAUAUAAGAUAUUGUUUUCAUUUAAGUUCAAACAUUGACUUCGAAGAACUGAGGGUUUUUUCUUUGUACGCAAAAAUGUUAUCUCAAUGAUCUUUACAAUCUGCUAUGAAGACCAGUGUACACAAUCUGUGAAGUGCAAUGAAGUGGUGCUGCCACUUUGAUCUCAGCUUGAUGGAUGAAAUAAAUCUUAUUUUACAGUUGUUGAAAUCUGUACUGUAGAUUUCUGUAAAUGGCCCGAGGUUGACCCAGUUUAUUGGCAGUGUCUGGCUACAGCUGCAUAACAUAUUUUCCUUUUGUGUCUCCCAGAACCAGUUUUGACCUUCGCCUUGACUGAUUUGAGCCAAAGACCAAAAGCCACACAGCACCUGCAAACCUUCAUCAGGAUUGCGCACUCUGAGACAACUUGCCAAUCCCUGCCCUCCCAGACUGCAUUAGUCCAUGUGUUAGCUCAGAGCUCAGGCUUAUUGAAAAAGUCUGGACUCCAGUCUCAGCUGUUUGCUCAGCUGGAUGACUCAGACCUCCCCUCGGGAUCAGUCAGCUGCUGUCCUGCUGGAUGUGCCACCAAGUCUCCAAACAUUGACAGUGAAAACAAUUGUUAAACUGUGCAUAAAGUCAUAGAAACUAGGAUAAAAAACGUAUACUUAGCUCUAGUUUAAUAUGUCAUAUAUGUACAACAUGUGGUUGUUCUGGUGUUAAAUAAACAGCAUUGUAUAUGCAUUUGUAGCAUUCACGUGUAUAGAUGUAGGCCUGUAGCAGUCAAAAAGAUUUGUUUGAUUUAGCUGUACUGUAUAUUUGCCCUGCCUGGUGACCCCUCCUCCAGUGAUAUUCAGGGUUUCCACUGUGACCCGUUGAUGCACUGGAUUAGCAGUGCAGUGAGCUGAGAGGCAGCGGAGUGAUAUAUUGUGUGUGUAAAAGUAAAGGGCGUUAAGUGGAACACAAGCCAACAGCAGUAAAAGCCACAAUAUAUCUGGCAAGACGCGUCUUUUCUAGAGAAUGGUUUUUAGUAGUGUGUGUGCUUGUGUGUGUGUGCGUGUACAGGCCUUAUUCCCUAAACUUGAGUCUUGCCUUACAGUGUGUGACCCCAUGAGCUGAUUUAUGUUUAGAUUUCAUUCCAUUCAUUCUGUAAUGCUGGGUGGGUUUCUGCAGGAACUGUUAACCAGUAAAUCCUCCAAUGAAAUGUGUGUCAUAUGUGGCUGACAUGAUAAGCUGUACAUUAUAAGAUAUACAUCACUGGCUACUCAAAGUCAUGCAUGCAUUAAAUGGCUUGGAAAGGAGUUCUCAAUGGCAGAGCGAUGCAUGAACUGAAAACAUGCGUGUGCAAGCACACAUAUUUGAGUGUAUGUGUGUGAGAGAGGGAGAAAAACAGAGGUAACCUAAUUUUGUGGAGAUAGUGGAAUCAUCAGGCCAUGUCUCUGUAAUGGAGACUAAUGUGGGAUUAGGCAGACGUAAUGACAUACAUUCGUCUGGAAUGCUUCAGUAGCAGCAAUCAGCGUGGAAAAUGGAGUGAUAUGGAAUUUCUUUGACAAGCUUUCAUUCAUAUUCGUAAAUGGAUACUAAUGUGGAAAAAUAUGGACCAGUAGCUUACUUAGGGAAAUUGGGGAUAUGGUCCAGGAAAAUUAUCUAACUUAUCAAAUAUGAUUGUGUCCAUAAGGAUAUAACAGUGUAUAUUAAUCCUGCCCCCUCCCCGGAAUGUUUUGGUAUGUUGUUAGUAGUGUAGAAUCACCUGAAUAUAGGAAUUGUUGUGCUUUUGUUACCUUAGAUUGAACUGUUUUCAUCUACAGGAGUCUACCAUGUUGCUACAGGAGCCCAGAAUGACAAACCAAACAAUGGAUGUAUAAAAGGCCUUUUGCGUUUUUACCUCACAGCCCGUUCUCAUUCCCAGCUUGUCAAAUACUAAAUAAAAUGUAUGUCAAAAUGUAUGUCUGAAUAGUUGAGGCCUCAUCAACUUGACAAAAAUAAUAACAAAAGUGACUUGCUUGCCUUGUGCUUUCCUGUAUGUGCACUACUUAAUUUGACCUCCAUCAGAUACCACUGAAAGACUCUGAGAUAUUGAUACGAUACAAGACUAAAACUCUGGAUGGAUAUGCAUUUUCCAUAGUGAUGCCAUAGUCGAAUGUGUACAAGACUUGGCCUACCUCUGUCUUCACUUAAACAGCAGUCACUGAUCAUUUCCUUGGCUGAGUUAGUAAGGGCUUGAGCAUCAGGGGAAGGGGGGGGGGAGGAGGAGGAGGAGGAAAAUGAAUGACCAAUUUGUGUUUUUCUAGGAAUUUUGGAGAGGAUUCACACACUCCUAUUCACCUCCUUGAACUGCCCCCUUCUGCCUAUGGACUGUACCCCCCUUAGCUGGGAGACUCUCAGUGGUUGCUGCGUGCCCCCAUGCUGCGA